rnacentral:rRNA from 1 species
UGAAUACGAGAUGCUACGGCGUCGAAGCAGUCUAUGUCAUACUUCCAAGAAAAGCUCGCACUGUCAUAAACAAAUAAUGCCUGUACCAUAACCGACACAGGUGGGUAGGUAGAGUAUACUAAGGGGCGCGAGAUAACUCUCUCUAAGGAACUCGGCAAAAUGACUCCGUAACUUCGGGAGAAGGAGUGCCUUAUUUAUAAGGUUGCAAUAACAAGAUCCAAGCAACUGUUUAUCAAAAACACAGGUCUCCGCUAAGUCGUAAGACGAUGUAUGGGGGCUGACGCCUGCCCAGUGCCAGAAGGUUAAAGAAGUUGGUUAGCAUUCGCGAAGCUGAUAACUGAAGCCCUGGUGAACGGCGGCCGUAACUAUAACGGUCCUAAGGUAGCGAAAUUCCUUGUCGGGUAAGUUCCGACCCGCACGAAAGGCGUAAUGAUUUGGAUACUGUCUCGGAGAGGGGCUCGGUGAAAUAGACUUGUCUGUGAAGAUGCGGACUACCUGCACCAGGACAGAAAGACCCUAUGAAGCUUUACUGUAACUUGAGAUUGAAAUUGGACUUUACUUGCGCAGUAUAGGUGGGAGGCGUUGAUAAUAUUCUUGCGGGAUUAUUUGAGCCAUCAGUGAGAUACCACUCUUGUAAUGUUAGAUUUCUAACUUUGUAUCAUUAUCUGGUCAAAGGACAGUUUCAGGCGGGCAGUUUGACUGGGGCGGUCGCCUCCUAAGCGGUAACGGAGGCGCACAAAGGUUUCCUCUGAACGGGUAGAAAUCGUAUCUAGAGUGUAAAGGCAUAAGGAAGCUUGACUGUGAGACCUACAAGUCGAGCAGGGACGAAAGUCGGUCUUAGUGAUCUGACGGUGCUGAGUGGAAAGGCCGUCACUCAACGGAUAAAAGUUACUCUAGGAUAACAGGCUGAUCUCCCCCAAGAGUUCACAUCGACGGGGAGGUUUGGCACCUCGAUGUCGGCUCAUCGCAUCCUGGGGCGGUAGUACGUCCCAAGGGUUGGGCUGUUCGCCCAUGAAAGCGGUACGCGAGCUGGGUUCAGAACGUCGUGAGACAGUUCGGUCCAUAUCCGGUGUAGGCGUUAGAAUAUUGAGAGGAGCCUUCUUUAGUACGAGAGGACCGAGAAGGACAUACCUCUGGUGUACCAGUUAUCGUGCCAACGGUAAACGCUGGGUAGCUAUGUAUGGAGUGGAUAACCGCUGAAAGCAUCUAAGUGGGAAGCCCACCUCAAGAUAAGUAUUCUCU